AUAAUAUCUGGACUCCGAGCUUGUAUUCCUAAGUUUAGUUUUUUAAAUAUGGAAGCAAAGCCUGAAUAAGUUUUCUUGUUCACAGGAUAGUAGAGAAAUUUGCUAUCCCCUCGUAUUUAGAAAGGUGUCCUUGGGGCUUAUAA
rnacentral:ncRNA from 2 species